UACAGAGGGGGCAAGCGUUAUUCGGAAUUAUUGGGCGUAAAGGGCGCGUAGGUGGCCUGGCAAGUGGAAGGUGAAAUCCCUCGGCUUAACCGAGGAACUGCCCUCCAAACUGCUUGGCUUGAGUCCGGGAGAGGUGAGUGGAAUUCCCAGUGUAGCGGUGAAAUGCGUAGAUAUUGGGAGGAACACCAGUGGCGAAGGCGGCUCACUGGACCGGAACUGACGCUGAGGCGCGAAAGCGUGGGGAGCAAACGGG
rnacentral:rRNA from 1 species